rnacentral:rRNA from 1 species
UACAGAGGUCUCAAGCGUUGUUCGGAUUCAUUGGGCGUAAAGGGUGCGUAGGCGGCGCGGUAAGUCGGGUGUGAAAUCUCGGAGCUUAACUCCGAAACUGCAUUCGAUACUGCCGUGCUUGAGGACUGGAGAGGAGACUGGAGUUUACGGUGUAGCGGUGAAAUGCGUAGAUAUCGUAAGGAAGACCAGUGGCGAAGGCGGGUCUCGUGGACAGUUCCUGACGCUGAGGCACGAAGGCCAGGGGAGCAAACGGG